CAAUAGCGUAUAUUAAAGUUGUUGUGGUUAAAAAGCUCGUAGUUGAACCUUGGGCCUGGCCGUCCGGUCCGCCUCACCGCGUGUACUGGCUCGGCCGGGCCUUUCCCUCUGUGGAACCCCAUGCCCUUCACUGGGCGUGGCGGGGAAACAGGACUUUUACUGUGAAAAAAUUAGAGUGCUCCAGGCGGGCCUAUGCUCGAAUACAUUAGCAUGGAAUAAUAGAAUAGGACGUGUGGUUCUAUUUUGUUGGUUUCUAGGACCGCCGUAAUGAUUAAUAGGGACAGUCGGGGGCAUCAGUAUUCAAUUGUCAGAGGUGAAAUUCUUGGAUUUAUUGAAGACUAACUACUGCGAAAGCAUUUGCCAAGGAUGUUUUCAUUAA
rnacentral:rRNA from 1 species